UACGGAGGAGGCAAGCGUUAUCCGGAAUUAUUGGGCGUAAAGCGUCCGUAGGUGGUUUAGUAAGUCUGCUGUUAAAGCGCGGGGCUUAACUCCGUAUCGGCAGUGGAAACUACUAGACUAGAGUGUGGUAGGGGUAGAGGGAAUUCCCAGUGUAGCGGUGAAAUGCGUAGAUAUUGGGAAGAACACCGGUGGCGAAGGCGCUCUACUGGGCCACAACUGACACUGAUGGACGAAAGCUAGGGGAGCGAAAGGG
rnacentral:rRNA from 1 species